GGCAGUCAAGGGUACUGCACAGAGUAUGGUGUUUCCCAUGGAGCAACAGUGGCACCUGGUGCACAGUCAAGAGAUGUAAACUGACGCUCUUCCGCUGCGCGGUGUUUCUCGGGUGGGCUCAUUUGAAGAGGCUGUUCCGAAGCAUGACCUGGGUUGGCUCCUCACAGCUACAAAGUGAGUCUGGAAGUGCUUGGAAAGACUAUCUGCCAUUACUGCGACUUGUUGUCUGAAACAGUGAAUGAAGAUGGCAUCUCCCGCCUGUAUGAAGCUUUUCAGGAAGUGCCUUUGAAAUCUGACAGGACCACGUGGCACAUCCUCAGUACACAUUACAAAUGGUUGCAGAAGCUUGGAAAUCUUGCGUUGGGUUCUGCAUUCAACUAGGGAACCGGAACCGACCCAGAAGACCUCUUUGUCCUGCUAUGCUACGUACAACAGACGUUUAUCAACUCUUUGGAACAGGGGCUGAACGGUGAGGUGGAUAUUUGCAGGUGACACAAAAUUAUGUAGGUUAGUCGAGCCUAGAGAAGACUUUGAAGCAGUUGAAAGGCAUCUAAUAAAGCCAUGUGACUGGGCAGCACAAUGGCAGAUGAAAGUCAGUGCUGACAAAUGCAGGGUCAUACACACGUGAGGCCUGGCGCUGCUUCUCCCUGAGGGAUUUUAUAGCUAACUGGCUGGCUGGGUGUCAAUAAAAAGGAGCUACCCUCCCCCCCCCCUUCAUUUAUCACAGGAACAAACCGUUUUAAAAAGUUUUUCCCUAUGCUUUUGGUGAGGACAAUUUGAAGCUGCAGCAAAAGCAGCAUCUGUGAGCCACUGGAUCAUAGAGAGAUAAAAAGAUUGCUUCUUCCCCUUCUUUUUAACAAAUAGAGGCGAAAGUUCUAUUAAGCUUUCAUUUUUUUAGGACUAUUAGAUUUAAGUAUGGAUUUUUCUGUUGCAUUAUCAGAAUGUCUCUGUCUUUAAAUCUUUGCAACCUGUGUGAUGAGACACAGGUACAAGCUCCUGUGUUUGUUUUGGGUCCAUAGAUUUUUAUUAAAAUAAUACAUCGCAGGCUGGAGCUGUGGCUUUCUCUAUAUUUUAA